AUACGGAGGGGGCUAGCGUUGUUCGGAAUUACUGGGCGUAAAGCGCGCGUAGGCGGAUAGUUAAGUCGGGGGUGAAAUCCCGGGGCUCAACCCCGGAACUGCCUCUGAUACUGGCUGUCUUGAGUUCGAGAGAGGUGAGUGGAAUUCCGAGUGUAGAGGUGAAAUUCGUAGAUAUUCGGAGGAACACCAGUGGCGAAGGCGGCUCACUGGCUCGAUACUGACGCUGAGGUGCGAAAGCGUGGGGAGCAAACAGGAUUAGAUACCCCAGUAGUCC
rnacentral:rRNA from 1 species